GUUUGAGGUUCUAACCUUGGUCCGUUAUCCGGAUCGGGGACAGUGCAUGGUAGGCAGUUUGACUGGGGCGGUCUCCUCCCAAAGAGUAACGGAGGAGCACGAAGGUACCCUAAGGAUGGUCGGAAAUCAUCCGCUUAGUGUAAUGGCACAAGGGUGCUUGACUGCGAGAGUGACAACUCGAGCAGGUGCGAAAGCAGGUCAUAGUGAUCCGGUGGUUCUGAAUGGAAGGGCCAUCGCUCAACGGAUAAAAGGUACGCCGGGGAUAACAGGCUGAUACCGCCCAAGAGUUCACAUCGACGGCGGUGUUUGGCACCUCGAUGUCGGCUCAUCACAUCCUGGGGCUGAAGCCGGUCCCAAGGGUAUGGCUGUUCGCCAUUUAAAGUGGUACGCGAGCUGGGUUUAGAACGUCGUGAGACAGUUCGGUCCCUAUCUGGUGUGGGCGUUGGAUGAUUGAGGGGAGCUGCUCCUAGUACGAGAGGACCGGAGUGGACGAACCGCUGGUGUUCGGGUUGUUUUGCCAAAGGCAUUGCCCGGUAGCCAAGUUCGGAAUCGAUAACCGCUGAAAGCAUCUAAGCGGGAAGCGAGCCCCAAGAUGAGUCAUCCCUGCACGUAAGUGCUGGAAGGGUUGUUAUAGACUAUGACGUUGAUAGGCAGGGUGUGGAAGCGUUGCAAGGCGUUAAGCUAACCUGUACUAAUUGCCCGA
rnacentral:rRNA from 12 species